AGUGAACGCUGGCGGUAGGCCUAACACAUGCAAGUCGAACGGCAGCACAGGAGAGCUUGCUCUCUGGGUGGCGAGUGGCGGACGGGUGAGGAAUACAUCGGAAUCUACUCUGUCGUGGGGGAUAACGUAGGGAAACUUACGCUAAUACCGCAUACGACCUACGGGUGAAAGCAGGGGACCUUCGGGCCUUGCGCGAUUGAAUGAGCCGAUGUCGGGUUAGCUAGUUGGCGGGGUAAAGGCCCACCAAGGCGACGAUCCGUAGCUGGUCUGAGAGGAUGAUCAGCCACACUGGAACUGAGACACGGUCCAGACUCCUACGGGAGGCAGCAGUGGGGAAUAUUGGACAAUGGGCGCAAGCCUGAUCCAGCCAUACCGCGUGGGUAAAGAAGGCCUUCGGGUUGUAAAGCCCUUUUGUUGGGAAAGAAAUCCAGCUGGCUAAUACCCGGUUGGGAUGACGGUACCCAAAGAAUAAGCACCGGCUAACUUCGUGCCAGCCGCCGCGGUAA
rnacentral:rRNA from 1 species